GCCACCCUAGCUCAGUUGGUAGAGCAGCUAUCUCGUAAGUAGCAGGCCGUCGGUUCAAGUCCGAUGGGUGGCUC
rnacentral:tRNA from 1 species